rnacentral:rRNA from 1 species
GAUGAACGCUGGCGGCGUGCCUAAUACAUGCAAGUCGAGCGAACAGACGAGGAGCUUGCUCCUUUGACGUUAGCGGCGGACGGGUGAGUAACACGUGGGUAACCUACCUAUAAGACUGGGAUAACUUCGGGAAACCGGAGCUAAUACCGGAUAAUAUUUCGAACCGCAUGGUUCAAUAGUGAAAGAUGGCUUUGCUGUCACUUAUAGAUGGACCUGCGCCGCAUUAGCUAGUUGGUAAGGUAACGGCUUACCAAGGCAACGAUGCGUAGCCGACCUGAGAGGGUGAUCGGCCACACUGGAACUGAGACACGGUCCAGACUCCUACGGGAGGCAGCAGUAGGGAAUCUUCCGCAAUGGGCGAAAGCCUGACGGAGCAACGCCGCGUGAGUGAUGAAGGUCUUCGGAUCGUAAAACUCUGUUAUUAGGGAAGAACAAAUGUGUAAGUAACUAUGCACGUCUUGACGGUACCUAAUCAGAAAGCCACGGCUAACUACGUG